rnacentral:lncRNA from 1 species
AUGGUACACAAUCAAAUUAUGAUAAGCCAUUGAAUCUCUGUAUAUAUUAAUUAUCAUAUUAGUUAGUAUACCAUGUAAGUCUAAACAUACAGUAUGAUACACUACCCAUAACAUGAAACACUACCAUAGCACAUAUCAAAAAAAUAGUGAUAAAUUAAACAGUCUCUUAAUCAACUUUUAAUCUUAACCAUCAAAUAAUAUCAUAUUACCAACUAAAUUAAAUUCUAUCUCUGAAUCUCACAUAAGCCAAAAAUAAAAGACAUAUAUCCAAUUAGCAAACAAAAAAGGACAUCUAUCCAAC